CGAAUACUUUCGCAAGGCACUGUACGUUCUUGCUGAGGCAAAGGAAGGUGCGGUCCUCGCCGAGGACCACGUACGUUGCAUUGAUCCAAUGUCCAAUAGAACAUGGAGGUACAGUGUAGAGGCAGCCAGGACAUCACUGAAAAGGCUUGACGUCUGGCAGCCGCUGCAAAGGAAAUGUUGGGUUAACUGACAGGGACAUGGGUUGGUCUUACCCCACGAAAGGGGAUGAGCGUAUUUAUUGGUUUACAGUAGAAUUUAGUUUUAUUUUUUUAUUUUUUACUUGUCAUUGUUCACGUUUAUGGGGUCACACUUUGCUCACCUUUAAUAUUACUUUUGUUUUAUCCUUCUGCUGGACACCAGACUUGUUGAAUUAUUGACGAGACAUCCUGCUUCUUCCAACAUGUUGCAAGCCAGACCUCUCUCCGCAGAACACCUCAUCCCUCGCUUUCGUUUGACUUUAGGCCCAAGGUUGUGAUGAGAGAAUAGUUGAGAACACGUAUGACUAUUGGAGGCAUUGGCUUCUAAAUUGGAUGUAUAGAGUCUUUGACCCUCAGGAAGCGUCUCCUCUUCGUGUCUGGCCUAGAGGACAUCCCUACACUGGGCUUCCCCACACAGCCUAACUUGGAGUUCCCACAUGCCCACUGGGAGAGACGGGUAGUUCCCGUUGCUGUACCAGAGGUCAACACCUGCAUUAUGGUCCUCUGUCUGCCGACCAACGCCUCUUAUACGCAUUUAAGGAGUUUAUGACAUCUUGCAUACUCGAAACACUAAGGUUGACUUGGAGAAAAACUCACUGGAGAAUCACGUACAAGUAAAUACAAGGCGGCAAUAUACCCGGAUCUGGUAUAUGACUGUUGUUUUCUUGUUGUUGACAAGCAUGUUGUUAUCCUAUGGUCAGUACUGUAGCUAUAUGAGACAUCUUUUAAUUACCCCUGAGUGGGCUAACCCUAUUGGCGCAAUGCGUAGGGUGUAUUUGUUUCACGCCAGCAACCCGGGUUCAAUUUCCUGUCUGUAGCCUACAUAGAUUGUGCAGGGAGAACACGUUCACUUGAAAUGCCCGAGACGUGCGCAGAUGUUUCCGCUUGGACUGGCUUGACAUGUCAUACCUGAUCUACAUAUAUAUAUAUAUAUAUAUAUUUACUCCUCUGAUACAGAUACUUCCCUCUCUUUUGAGCUUUGUCUCUGUCCAUAAUAGUCUCACAAAAGACUAACGGCCUGUCUCAUCCCUGGUUUGCAACUCUGCCUCCGAGAACCUCUUUAGCCAACCGAAAAUCAAACUAAACAAGCUGGAUGUUAAAAGACAACACAAACAAAGAUUAAGUGUUGGAGAGGGCAUGCAACCUCCCAACAGAGGAAUGUGAUUAUGGGGUCCUAAAAUUCUAAAUCAAAUAGCUAAAUAAUCCAUGGUGUGACCAUUUUCAAACAACAGUUUAGUAAGGGGGAGGGGGAAACUGAAAGGCUUGGAACUCUCUUUCUUAUUGGUCUAUUAACUAAUUUACCGCAUGGUGAUGUCCAACCUCAUAGUGUGGAAAUGUAUAAAUGUCAAACACAGGAACUUCAUGUUUUUGACUGCACUGGGCCUUACUGUUUCAUAAGCCUGCCAUCUUGUGGUAGGUUGCUGCAGCUGCAGCUACUGUCUUGUCCAUUUUGGGUACUUAAUCUGGGAAUACAGAGAGAGCAUCUGAUGCAAUAUUUAUGCCAGCCUUCGGCAAACAAAUACUUAAUAAUGAUGAUGAUACAUUUGUGUGUGUGUACCUUCUACGGCAACUCCUUUAUUAUGCUUGGUGUGUCCCGGUCCCUCGUAUCCAUCCACACACACACACAGUGGUAGCAACUACACUUAGGUCCAACGCCUUGAUCGCCUGGCCUACACUAACACACAGACACACUUGACACACACGCACACCCUUGCCCAGCUCGAAAGAUAACUUCUUUCCUUGUUCGAGACUAGAGUUAAACAGGGUUCCUUCCAGCAGCAUGCCAACACAGUAAACAAACACCUUGUCCUCAGCCAACAAACACCCUGUCCCUGUGCUUCACUAACUACAGAGGGGUAGGGAGGGAGGGAGACACUGCUGUAGCAGUGUGUUGCACAGUCAGCCUGUGGUAUUUUUUAUUUUGCCCCCCCCCCUGUGGUAAAUUCAAUUGAUAGGACAUGAUUUGGAAAGGCACACCCCUGUCUAUAUAAUGUUCCACAGUUGACAAUGCAUGUCAGAGCAACAAGACUGUGUCAAGGCACAAAUCUGGGGAAGGGGUACCAAAACAUUUUGGCCGCAUUACUGGUCCCCAAGGACACAGUGGCCUCCAUCUUUCUUAAAUGGACGAAGUUUGGAACCACCGAGACUGGCCGCCAAACUGAGCAAUUGGGGGAGAAGGGCUUUGGUCAGGGAGGUGACCAAGAACCCGAUGGUCACUCUGACAGAGCUCCAGGGUUCCUCUGUGGCGAUGGGAGAACCUUCCAGAAGGACAACCAUCUCUGCAGCACUCCACCAAUCAGGCCUUUAUAGUAAAGUUGCCAGACGGAAGCCACUUCACAAUAAAAUGCACAUGACAGCCCGCUUGGAGUUUGCCAAAAGGCACCUAAAGGAAUCUCAGACCAUGAGAAACAAGAUUCUCUGGUCUGAUGAAACCAAGAUUGAACUUUUGGCCUGAAUGCCAAGCAUCACAUCUGGAGGAAACCAGGCACUAUCCCUAAGGGUGAAGCAUGGAGGUGGCAGCAUCAUGCUGAGGGAAUGUGUUUCAGCGGCAGGGACUGGGAGACUAGUCAGGAUCGAGGGAAAGAUGAACAGAGCAAAGUACAGAGAGAGAUCCUUGAUGAAAACCUGCUCCAGAGUGCUCAGGACCUCAAACUGGGACAAAGGUUCACCUUCCAACAGGACAACGACCGUAAGCACACAGCCAAGACAAUGCAGAAGUGGCUUCGGGACAAGUCUCUGAAUAUCCUUGAGUGGCCCAGCCAGAGCCCGGACUUGAACUCGAUCGAACAUCUCUGGAGAGACCUGAAAAUAGCUGUGCAGCAACGCUCCCCAUCCAACCAGACAGAGCUUGAGAGGGUCUGCUGAGAAGAAUGGGAGAAACUCCCAAAAUACAGGUGUGCCAAACUUGUAGUGUCAUACCCAAUAAGACUCGAGUCUGUAAUCACUGCCAAAGGUGCUUCCACAAAGUACUGAGUAAAGGGUCUGAAUACUUCUGUAAAUGGGAUCUUUCCGGGUUUUAUUUUUAAUACAUUUGCAAAAAUUUCUACAAAUCUGUUUUUGCUUUGUCAUUAUGGGGUAUUGUGUGUGGGUUGAUCAGGGGAAAAACUAUUUAAUCCGUUUUAGAAUAAGGCUGUAAUGUAACAAAAUGUGGAAUAGUUGAAAGGGUCUGAACACUUUCCAAACGUGCUGUAUAUUGUGCACGAAAAAUUCAGUUAUAAAUCAUUUUGUCUUAGUUGAGAACAAAUUGUCAUCCAAUAGGCUUUGCUUAAAUUUCCAAUAUCCCCGUUCAUGUGGAAAUUCUGUAAGAGUUAUGUGAAGGCCAAUUAGAUGGUGGUCCGAUCGCGGGUCUGUCUCCUAUCAAUACUUUUUUUUAAACUGUUGGUGUCAGCGAGAAUGACCCAACAUUGUUUGUUGUUGUUGUAAGUAAUCAAUUUUAGAAUAAGGCUGUAACGUAACAAAAUGUGGAAAAACUGAGUUCUUUCCGAAUGCACUCUAUGCUAUGUCAAUGAUAUUUGUGAUCUCCUUAAGGGCGUGUGGUAGUGUUACUGUAUGCUGUGUAGUAAUUUGGGCUGCUGUUGUGUUUAGGUCUCGGGCUUUGGGCUCUAAACCUGUUCAAGAAGUGAAAGGAUUUGUGUGAUGAUGUGGAAAUGUAGGAACUGUCUGAGACAAGGAGAGGUCUCAAGCAUAAGGGACAAUAAAGGUAAUUCAUAAAUACCUCAUGAAAAUGUCAGUUGUCUGGUUGAGUGGGAGAUCAGUGCUUAAACCGGUCAAGUCAUCCUGUGUGUUAGUUAUCUCAGAGGACAGCCUACUUGAUAUCCGAAGGCAAUGUGAGUCUCAAUCAUUGUAAAAUAAAAGGAAAUCCCUGUGA